rnacentral:tRNA from 1 species
GGGCGAUUAGCUCAGCGGGAGAGCGUUCCGCUCACACCGGAAAGGUCGCUGGUUCGAUCCCAGUAUCGCCCA